CACACACACAGGUAACCAGAGACCCAUCUACCUGUUCCACAAGGGCUCCGCCCACAGGAAGUGACAUCACUGAUGGAUCUGCUUGGACAUCAGAGCCUCAGGAGGAAGUGAUGUCAGACUGAACUGAGCAUGCUCAGUGGGACCUGUUGGAGCGGUCAGGUGACCUCACUGUAAUUGGACAGGAACAGCAGACAGGAAGUGACUGAUCUUUUCAAAAUAAAACCUGAUUCUUCUUGGUCUUUUUCAUAAUAAAGUGAGUUGAGCUGC